UGGUAAAUAUAGUAAUAGUAAUGAUUAAGAUUUAGGAGUGGUAUUUGAAUAAAUAAAUGAAUUAAAUAAAUUAUUGUUAGGAAAAUAUAUGGUAACAUAUUGUUAGUAUAAGUUUAAGGUAAGACCAAAAAAAUAAUGAGUUAAAUAAAAGGGUCCAAACAACUUUGAUAGGUAGAUUUUUUAAGACUUCUUCCCUUUUAAUAGUAUUGAUAUUAAAAAUCAUGGAAGUUAACUGACCCCCUCCCCCUCAAGUAGUUCCGCCACUGGUGAUACGGCAGGAUUGAAAAAAUAAUAAGCACUUUAAGUUUAAAAAUUAACCACUUUAAUUUAUUCAUCUGCAUGGUUAAUCAAUAUAAACAUUUGACUCUCACGUAGAAAAUCAAAGUUUAUCUGUCAUCUGUUGACAAAUCUUCAGAAGAUUAGUUGAGUCUUUGGAUUUGGAUACGUUCAAAAUUAUCAAAAAAAAAGAAUUAAGAUUUUUUUUUAUUCUUCUUAAAUCUUUUCUUACUGUAUUUAAUAUUUACAAAAAAAAAUUCAAUUUAUUGGAAAUAUAGAUUUAAAAGAUAAUUUGGUGGGAGCUAAAAGAUAAUAUAUAAUAAAACUAAAUAAAAAGAAAUACCACAUUUUAUAAUUGGAUUUGAAACAUUUUAAAACAAACAUUUACUUCAUUUAAAGAAAGUAUAUUUAUGGAUAAAAAUAAAGAAAAAUAUUUGGAAACCAAAAUCUUAAGUUUUUAUUUUAGAUAUAUUUCAUAAAAUAUGAAAUAAUCUAACUAAAGUCUUAAAGAAUAUAAAUUAUCAUUUGAAAUAUUUUUGUAAAAGAAUAAAUAAUGAAAAUAAUUUUUAAAGAAUAAAAUUUUCAUUUAAAAUAUUUUCUUAAAAAAUUAUUUUAAGAACCUGACAUUUCUUUAAAUCACCUUAAGUGUUUCAAAAUGUAUGCUAUUUUGGGGAAUAUUUAGUAUUUUGAAAUAUAAAAUAUUCUAUACAUUUGAACAUGAUUUUUGUUCAAUAAAUAAUUUUACAAAAAAUAUUACUUUAUCAAAAAUUCUUGUGAUAUUUCUAUAAUUUUAAAUAUAUCAUUUGAUAUUCUCAGAUUUCUCCAUUGAAGAUCGAAGUACUCAGAUUUAACCCUAUUUUUAAUUGCAAGUGUACAUCUAUGCACGAUAGUAAAUUACGAUCAAAUCCUCAAAGACUAAAGUUACAUUAUCAAACUACGAGGAAAGAAUGCGAAUGUGUUUUUAUGGUUUUCAAGUAUGAUUAAUAUAAAGAACAAUAUGUAAAACAAAAAUUAAAGUUAUGACUAAAAACACUUGGCAAUGGAAAAUUCUUAGAAAAACAUGGAUCGUGAAAUGAAUGCUAGCAUAGAAUACAGUAUAAUACCGUUCUCAAACUCAAACCAUUCAAUUACUGUAAUCUACUUCUGCAUCGCUAAAUCCUAUGUUAUAAAAUUAUAUAGACUAAUUUUCGUUGAAUUUUGGAUUUUAGACAUACUAUCUAAUAGGUUUGAUCUGAAGUUAACAACAAUAUCAACUGGUUACGAAUACUUGCUUAUCUAGAUUCGGUCAUGAGAUUAAAUACUCAUUUUAGAUGCAUUGUAUAAAUUUUCUCCAAUAGUUUUGCAAUUUGUUUAGGGUUUGUUGGUGUUGGUAUUCCGCCAACAAAGGAAAGUGACGAAACUAACUAAUAAUAAUUAAUUAUAUUAAAGGCGUUGGUAAAUUAAAUGUAAAUUAACAAUAACUACCUUCUUGAUAACAACAAUGUUACAAUAAACAUAUUGAUUUGUUUGCAAAAGUAAAAAAAAAAAUGUUUAAAAGAAGGAAAAGAAGGCACACUUGUUCACGAUCUUUAUAUAUACUCCCUCUCAAAGUUCAAUAUCGUUGGAGUCUUGUGGGUUACCAUUUUACCUCAUAAGAUGAAACUCUAUAAAUUAAAAUGUUCUGUUCAAUUCAAUGCCUCGGCAGACAUCUGUUCCCUUUGCAUGUAAGAGAGAUAAAGAAAGCGACAAAAGCCAUAAAGAAAGAUCUCUAGAGUUGGAUGAAUUGUGAGUGAAUGAGCUGGGGCAAAAGAAACACACAGAAACUGACAGAAGAGAGUGAGCACACAAAAGUAAAUUGCAUAUGUUGCAUUUGCUUCUCUUGCGUGCUCACUGCUCUUUCUGUCAGAUUCCCGUGCUGAUCUCUUUGGCCUGUCCUUGUUCCUCUUUGUCUCAGUCUCUCUCUCUCUCACAUACACAAGCUCUCUCUCUCUCUCUUGAUUAUUUCCAAACUAAGGUAAGAAUAUACCACUGAAAUGAUGGCUUGUUCUUGUGUAUUGAUUUUGGUUCGAUCUGAUUGCAUGCGGUGUGAGAUCUUUAAACUUUAACCAUAAAUUCAUUAUGGUUUAAGGUAUGCGUAAUAUCGAAAAAGCAAUUAGUCUAUGUGUUAACGCGUGGUUAAGUGAAAUUAAGCAUGGUAACCUAGUUCUUAUUAGGCUGGUCCUUAAUUUCUCGAUUCAUGUAUAUAUUAUUGUUUAUUUUUUUCUUUUUGUCUUUUUAAUACCUUGUUCCAUCCUAUAUUCUCAUAUAAAUAAUAUGUCAUUUGAUUCAUGCGAUCAUCAUAUCAUCUCAUUUUUCGUGAAUAAGAUGUUGCAAGAUAACUUCGUCAUUAUAAGAAUGAGUCGUUGGCAUUUUAGUUAAUUAAAUAGUUCGUUCGUACAUUUUGAUUCAAUGAGACACAUAAUUAGCUUAUUAUAUAAAGAGUUAUGCUAGUAUAUACUUCAGCAAAAAAAAAAUUAUGCCGGUAUAUAGUUAGUUGUAAUUACCUUUUUUUAUAAAUGCAAUAAUGUUACAUUUCAUGAAUCUUUUUAUGUUAAUGAAGAUACAAUUAUAUGUAGCAUUAUUAAUCACAUAAAUCUUGUGAGAAUAUUCUUGUGGUGGUUUGUUUUGUCAGAUUAAUUUGAUAGCAUGUUCUUAUUUUCAUUGGCUUUUCAAACACACAUUUUGAAUGCAACUAAUACAGCCUAUAAUGUAUGAGUUUCUGGUAUUGGUGCCACAUGUUGAUGUGUCAUGUCUUUCCGCUUUUGUACUGUUAAGGAUGUUGAAAAAUAUUGUUGUUUGUCGACAAAAUAUCAAUACUAGUAAUUAAUUUUUGGUCCUACUGUUACACCUUUUAUUUUUUGUUGGGUAAGUCAUGAGUUGUUGGGCUGAGAUCGUGAUGAUGCCGGUGAGGAUUUUGUGGUCAAGUGAAUGCAUCAUAUACGAAUCGAUAUAUCCAUUGCAAUUGUCUGAUGCUUUUAUUAGUUAAGGCAGUAUUCGAUCUUGAUAUUUGUAGAGAAAACGAAAUUUGGAGGACAUGGAAUACAUGCGUAUGGAUUUUUGAAUUGGAUGAUUUCAGAGGUGUUGGCUCCAGCUUUAUAAAUUUGUUGGUGUGCGUACAUGAGCUCUCUAGAGAUCUAGAAUACAAAUCUAUUUGUAAAUUGUAAAAGGAAAUGCAAAUUCAUAUUUUGUACCGAAGGAUCAUUUGAAAGAAUCAUCCAGAGGAAAGUCUAAACGCAAACACAAAACAACUAGACAAACUUUGGCCGAGGCAAAGAUCGUUGAGCAA